ACGCUCGACACCUACGGGAGGCAGCAGUUGGGAAUAUUGGACAAUGGAGGAAACUCUGAUCCAGUGACGCCGCGUGAAGGAAGAAGGUCUUCGGAUUGUAAACUUAUUUUGUCAGGGAAGAAAAAAUGACUGUACCUGAAGAAAAAGCACCGGCUAACUACGUGCUAGCAGCCGGCGGUAAUCUGAGCGGGCUGGCAAGGC
rnacentral:rRNA from 1 species